AUUGAACGCUGGCGGCAGGCUUAACACAUGCAAGUCGAACGAGCGGCGGACGGGUGAGUAAUGUCUGGGAAACUGCCUGGUAGAGGGGGAUAACUACUGGAAACAGUAGCUAAUACCGCAUACCAUUGGAGGUGCCCAGAUGGGAUUAGCUAGUAGGUGGGGUAAUGGCUCACCAAGGCGACGAUCCCUAGCUGGUUUGAGAGGACGACCAGCCACACUGGAACUGAGACACGGCCCAGACUCCUACGGGAGGCAGCAGUGGGGAAUAUUGCACAAUGGGGGCAAGCCUGAUGCAGCCAUGCCGCGUGUGUGAAGAAGGCCUUCGGGUUGUAAAGUACUUUUAGCGAGGAGGCGUUACUCGCAGAAUAAGCACCGGCUAACUCCGUGCCAGCAGCCGCGGUAAUAC
rnacentral:rRNA from 1 species